rnacentral:rRNA from 1 species
CCUACGGGUGGCUGCAGUGGGGAAUAUUGGACAAUGGGCGAAAGCCUGAUCCAGCCAUGCCGCGUGUGUGAAGAAGGCCUUCGGGUUGUAAAGCACUUUCAGUGGGGAAGAAAGCCUUGGGGCUAAUACCCUCGAGGAAGGACAUCACCCACAGAAGAAGCACCGGCUAACUCCGUGCCAGCAGCCGCGGUAAUACGGAGGGUGCGAGCGUUAAUCGGAAUUACUGGGCGUAAAGCGCGCGUAGGCGGUCUGAUAAGCCGGUUGUGAAAGCCCCGGGCUCAACCUGGGAACGGCAUCCGGAACUGUCAGGCUAGAGUGCAGGAGAGGAAGGUAGAAUUCCCGGUGUAGCGGUGAAAUGCGUAGAGAUCGGGAGGAAUACCAGUGGCGAAGGCGGCCUUCUGGACUGAAACUGACGCUGAGGUGCGAAAGCGUGGGUAGCAAACAGGAUUAGAUACCCUGGUAGUC